ensembl:snRNA U2 U2 spliceosomal RNA
AUCACUUCUCGACCUUUUGGUUAGUAUCAGGUGUAAUAUCUGUUCUUAUGACUUUAAUAUCUGAUAUGUACUCUAUCUGAGGACAAUAUGUUAAACAGAAUUUUGGAGCAGAGAGAUGGAAUAGGGGCUUUCUCCAUCAACUCCAUAUAUUAACCUGCUAUUGAAGUACUUUCAGAAAUGGUGCACCCCUC